AUCCAUCUAACCAGUUCCAAAUAGGACGAAACGCGCGUCAAACAGGAU
rfam:Schistosoma haematobium scaffold325_37, whole genome shotgun sequence.